ensembl:misc_RNA Metazoa_SRP Metazoan signal recognition particle RNA
GCCGGGCACAGUGGCGCGUGGCUGUAGUCCCAGUUACUCAGGAGGCUGAGGCUGGAGGAUCACUUGAGCCAGGAGUCCUGGGCUGUAGUGCGCUGUGCCGAUCAGGUGUCCACACUAAGUUUGGCAUCAAUAUGGGGACCUCCCGGGAGCGGGGGAUCACCAGGUUGCCUAAGGAGGGGUGAACCGGCCCAGGUCAGAAACAGAGCCCUUCAAAACUCCAUUGCUGAUCAGUAGUGGGAUCAUGCCUGUGAAUAGCCACUGCACUCCAGCUGGGGCAACACAGCCAGAUCCUGUCUCUG